rnacentral:rRNA from 1 species
AGUGAACGCUGGCGGUAGGCCUAACACAUGCAAGUCGAACGGCAGCACAGUAAGAGCUUGCUCUUACGGGUGGCGAGUGGCGGACGGGUGAGGAAUACAUCGGAAUCUACUUUUUCGUGGGGGAUAACGUAGGGAAACUUACGCUAAUACCGCAUACGACCUACGGGUGAAAGCAGGGGAUCUUCGGACCUUGCGCGAUUGAAUGAGCCGAUGUCGGAUUAGCUAGUUGGCGGGGUAAAGGCCCACCAAGGCGACGAUCCGUAGCUGGUCUGAGAGGAUGAUCAGGCACACUGGAACUGAGACACGGUCCAGACUCCUACGGGAGGCAGCAGUGGGGAAUAUUGGACAAUGGGCGCAAGCCUGAUCCAGCCAUACCGCGUGGGUGAAGGAGGCCUUCGGGUUGUAAAGCCCUUUUGUUGGGAAAGAAAAGCAGCAGGUUAAUACCCCGCUGUUCUGACGGUACCCAAAGAAUAAGCACCGGCUAACUUCGUG